UACAGAGGUCUCGAGCGUUGUUCGGCUUCAUUGGGCGUAAAGGGUGCGUAGGUGGCUAGGUAAGUCGGAUGUGAAAUCCCGGGGCUCAACCCCGGAACUGCAUUCGAUACUGCUUGGCUUGAGUACUGGAGAGGAGAUUGGAAUUUACGGUGUAGCGGUGAAAUGCGUAGAUAUCGUAAGGAAGACCAGUGGCGAAGGCGGAUCUCUGGACAGUUACUGACACUGAGGCACGAAGGCCAGGGGAGCAAACGGG
rnacentral:rRNA from 1 species